GGUUCAAGUCCCUCUAUCCCCAAAAAGACCAUUUGACUACCUAAUUAUUUAUCGUAUCCUUU
rnacentral:tRNA from 1 species